rnacentral:rRNA from 1 species
CUACGGGAGGCAGCAGUGGGGAAUCUUGCGCAAUGGGCGAAAGCCUGACGCAGCGAUGCCGCGUGCGGGAUGAAGGCCUUCGGGUUGUAAACCGCUUUCAGCAGGGACGAAAUUGACGGUACCUGCAGAAGAAGCCCCGGCCAACUACGUGCCAGCAGCCGCGGUAAUACGUAGGGGGCGAGCGUUGUCCGGAUUUAUUGGGCGUAAAGAGCUCGUAGGCGGUUCGAUAAGUCGGAUGUGAAAUCUCCACGCUCAACGUGGAGAGGCCAUUCGAUACUGUCGUGACUCGAGUCCGGUAGGGGAGUGUGGAAUUCCCGGUGUAGCGGUGAAAUGCGCAGAGAUCGGGAGGAACACCCGUAGCGAAGGCGGCACUCUGGGCCGGUACUGACGCUGAGGAGCGAAAGCGUGGGGAGCAAACAGGAUUAGAAACCCCGGUAGUCC